rnacentral:rRNA from 18 species
UAAGUAGGUCGGGACACGUGUUAUCUUGACUGAAGAUAGGGGGACCAUCCUCUAAGGCUAAAUACUCCCAAUUGACCGAUAGUGAACCAGUACCGUGAGGGAAAGGUGAAAAGCACCCCGGAAGGGGAGUGAAAUAGAACCUGAAACCGUGUGCUUACAAGUAGUCAGAGCCCGUUAAUGGGUGAUGGCGUGCCUUUUGUAGAAUGAACCGGCGAGUUACGAUUUGAUGCAAGGUUAAGCAGUAAAUGUGGAGCCGUAGCGAAAGCGAGUCUGAAUAGGGCGAAUGAGUUAGAUGGAUUAGACCCGAAACCCGGCGAUCUAGGCAUGACCAGGUUGAAGGUGCGGUAACACGCACUGGAGGACCGAACCCACGCCUGUUGAAAAAGUCGGGGAUGAGCUGUGGCUAGGGGUGAAAGGCCAAUCAAACUCGGAAAUAGCUGG